rnacentral:rRNA from 1 species
GAUGAACGCUGGCGGCGUGCCUAAUACAUGCAAGUCGAGCGAACAGACGCGGAGCUUGCUCCUCUGACGUUAGCGGCGGACGGGUGAGUAACACGUGGACAACCUACCUAUAAGACUGGGAUAACUUCGGGAAACCGGAGCUAAUACCGGAUAAUAUAUUGAACCGCAUGGUUCAAUAGUGAAAGACGGUUUUGCUGCCACUUAUAGAUGGAUCCGCGCCGCAUUAGCUAGUUGGUAAGGUAACGGCUUACCAAGGCAACGAUGCGUAGCCGACCUGAGAGGGUGAUCGGCCACACUGGAACUGAGACACGGUCCAGACUCCUACGGGAGGCAGCAGUAGGGAAUCUUCCGCAAUGGGCGAAAGCUUGACGGAGCAACGCCGCGUGAAUGAAGAAGGUCUUCGGAUCGUAAAACUCUGUUAUUAGGGAAGAAAAAGUGUGUAAGUAACUAUGCACGUCUUGACGGUACCUAAACAGAAAGCCACGGCUAACUACGUG